rnacentral:lncRNA from 1 species
UCUCUUCUCUGGUGCUUGUCAAAAGUAUUUCUCCCAGCUAAUCUCAUUCCCAGUUGCCAAAGAAAAGAUCUCAAGCAUAACUCCUCAUCUCCAGGUCACCCGACAAGGUACCUUUGACAGGAGCGUGACCCUGCUGGAGGUGUGCGGGAGCUGGCCUGAGGGCUUCGGGCUGCGGCACAUGUCCUCCAUGGAGCACACGGAGGAGGGCCUCCGGGAGCGACUUGCCGACGCCAUGGCCGAGUCACCUAGCCGGGACGUCGUGGGAUCCGGAACAGAACUUCAGCGAGAGGGAAGCAUCGAGACUCUGAGUAACAGCUCAGGCUCCACCAGCGGCAGCAUACCAAGAAACUUUGAUGGCUACCGAUCUCCGCUGCCCACCAAUGAGAGCCAGCCCCUCAGCCUCUUCCCGACUGGCUUCCCGUAGGUACCAGCAACCUGCUUCUGACUGGCCAGCCCCCUCCCCUGCUGGAGGAGGGGAGAAGCCCCGCUCUGGUCCUACCCUUCAGUCUCUGCUCUUCCUUCAUCAACCACCUUCCCCAAGCUUAGUGACAGCAGCCGCCCAUCCUACCUGGAUGGAGAAGAGACCCUUCUCCAAGCACCUCAGCGCACUUGCCCUCUGCCACACCUGUCGGUGGAGGCUGUGGCCAGGAGAGACUGUAGAAGCUCGGUCCCUGUGUAUGUUUGCAUAUGACAUCCUGCAUUGGAUCCGCUUUUGUAUUUUUUAACCAUACCCACGGUGGGGCGGGUGGGGGGAGCCUGGAACAGUGACCAGAUCUGGGGGCCUGAGUGGGGACAGAGUUGAUCGUCCACCUGGCCAUUUUGACCCUGAGUGGACAGUCACAGCCUCAGCUCAUGUCUGGCUGUGACACACACUGCCCCCAGCUUCCCUUGGUCAGCCCCACUCCAGCACGGGGUGAACGGAGGCCCAGAGUACUAGGGAAGGAGGAAGGGAGGACAUGCCUCUUCUUCCUCCUUUCUUUCCCCAUCUGUUCAUGGGAAGAGUUUGUCUUUCUUAUCUUUAAGCCCCUUUACCCUGGUCCUGUACUGAUCAGUGAAGGAAACCGUGGUUACUGAGGCCCUGUUGAAAAGUGCACGUCUUGUCCAAUAAAUCACGCUGCAGUUG